GUGACCUCCCAUCAGGCACGACUAUCCGCUGAACAUCAGCAUAUCAAUCAGUGCCGCAACAUGAUACUAACAAGGAUUCUCCCUAGUAACUGCGUAGUGAGACGGGAAGAAGCUCAAAUCUAAUAUCUGUCAGUCUUUGCUAGUCCGCAGUUGUAAUGCUAAAGAAUGUCUUAUCGGUCGCUGGACCAUGUAUCAGUCUCUCUUGACUGUGACGUCCGCAAAAGAGUCGUAAUCCCUAUCGUUUUACUGACAGCCGAGGCUUCUUGCAUACGCACGCUCUACCGAGCUCAGAUUGUCUCGAAAUGCAG
rnacentral:rRNA from 1 species